rnacentral:lncRNA from 1 species
GUGGAGUGGAACGGCUCUCUGUCUCAGCAAUCUAAGAGAAGCUCGGAUAUUUUCAAGGUUGCUGACGAGUCCAUAGUUAUGGGGUGCCUUAGGCACUGAUGUUGCAGGCGGAAGUCAUCUGCUGUAGAAGCUCGGACAAAAAUUUUCUAUUGGAGAAGUCCGGUAGGAGUCCAAUUGCUAGAGAAGUCCAUCUGAAAUUUGCCUG